UGGGGAAUAUUGCACAAUGGGCGAAAGCCUGAUGCAGCAACGCCGCGUGAGUGAUGAAGGUCUUCGGAUUGUAAAGCUCUGUCUUUUGGGACGAUAAUGACGGUACCAAAGGAGGAAGCCACGGCUAACUACGUGCCAGCAGCCGCGGUAAUACGUAGGUGGCGAGCGUUGUCCGGAUUUACUGGGCGUAAAGGGUGCGUAGGCGGAUGUUUAAGUGAGAUGUGAAUACCCGGGCUUAACUUGGGUGCUGCAUU
rnacentral:rRNA from 1 species